rnacentral:rRNA from 1 species
UAUGGUAGAUCUAUAAAGUCUAGCCUGCCCACUGAGUUUUUAAAGGGCCGCGGUAAUUUGACCGUGCGAAGGUAGCAUAGUAAGUAGUCUUUUAAUUGGAGACUUGAAUGAAUGGUUGGAUGAAAGGUAGACUGUCUUUCUAGUCGGUUAUAAAAUUUAACUUUUAAGUGAAAAGGCUUAAAUUUAUUAGGGGGACGAUAAGACCCUAUAAAACUUUACAUAAAAAACUAUAGUCUAUGAAUUAUAUUUAAGGGGAGUCUAGUCUUUUGUGUUUUGUUGGGGCGACAUGGAUAAAAAGUAACUGUCUAUUAAAAUUUAAUAAUAAUAAUUAGUUUUUGAUCCUUUAGUAUGGAUUAAAAGAAUAAGUUACUUUAGGGAUAACAGCGUGAUUUUUCCUGAGAGUUCUUAUCGACGGAAGUAGUUGCGACCUCGAUGUUGAAUUAAAAUUUCGGUUAGGUGUAGCCGCUUAACUAGUAGGUCUGUUCGACCUUUAAAAUUUUACAUGAUUUGAGUUCAAACCGGU